rnacentral:rRNA from 1 species
GAUGAACGCUGGCGGCGUGCCUAAUACAUGCAAGUCGAGCGAACGGACGAGAAGCUUGCUUCUCUGAUGUUAGCGGCGGACGGGUGAGUAACACGUGGAUAACCUACCUAUAAGACUGGGAUAACUUCGGGAAACCGUAGCUAAUACCAGAUAAUAUUUUGAACCGCAUGGUUCAAAAGUGAAAGACGGUCUUGCUGUCACUUAUAGAUGGAUCCGCGCUGCAUUAGCUAGUUGGUAAGGUAACGGCUUACCAAGGCAACGAUGCAUAGCCGACCUGAGAGGGGGGUCGGCCACACUGGAACUGAGACACGGUCCAGACUCCUACGGGAGGCAGCAGUGGGGAAUCUUCCGCAAUGGGCGAAAGCCUGACGGAGCAACGCCGCGUGAGUGAUGAAGGUCUUCGGAUCGUAAAACUCUGUUAUUAGGGAAGAACAUAUGUGUAAGUAACUGUGCACAUCUUGACGGUACCUAAUCAGAAAGCCACGGCUAACUACGUG